UACGUAGGGGGCAAGCGUUGUCCGGAAUCAUUGGGCGUAAAGAGCGCGUAGGCGGCCCAGUAAGUCCGCUCUGAAAGUCCAGGGCUCAACCCUGGGAUGCCGGUGGAUACUGUCGGGCUCGAGUCCGGAAGAGGAGUGUGGAAUUCCUGGUGUAGCGGUGAAAUGCGCAGAUAUCAGGAGGAACACCAAUGGCGAAGGCAGCACUCUGGGACGUGACUGACGCUGAGACGCGAAAGCGUGGGGAGCAAACAGG
rnacentral:rRNA from 1 species